CUGGGGCUGCUGUACAGGUGGCCGUCAGAUCCUCCGGGGGAGCUCCAGGGUGUCAUGAAGCUCUGCUGGAUUCAGGAGACCCGAGGAAUUUUGUCAUGUGACCACCUCAGGAACUGGGGAUCCACAUGCACAGCAGACAGGAGGAUCAGACCUUGAAGAAGAGAAGAUGAACUGAUGGAAGGAAGAAGCUGCACAUGGGCUAAAUUUGUGAAACUGCAAUAGAAAAUCAAGAAAUUUACCACUUGAAAGUAAACAUCAACCAGAAAGCCAGCAAGCUGCAGAAGAUACA